UUUUCGACUUACGUCAGUUCGUUAAUUGAUACAGACAUCUAGGAUAUUUUGAAGAAAUUGUGUGUGAUAUAACACUGUUGUGUGAGGGUUUUAAAGUGACAUGGUCAAGACAUACUAUGAUAGUAUUGUUCAGUAUGACUUCUGACAUGUUACUGUUUGAUAACAGUGAAGUUACAGUUGGUUCAGACAAGUUGUAUACAUGUAUACAGGACAAGACAGCUCAAACCGGCAGUUUGUUAUAGCAAAAAGUGAUGAAGUUUCAGCCUAGAAGUCUUCAUGAUGAUGAUGCUGAUGAUCCUAGUUAUAGAUUCUUUGAAAUUAUCUGUAAGAAAGGGGUUUCUGCUGCAGAGAAGAAAAAAAUUCAUACAGUAAGAAGCUGCCCACUCUGUUCAAAUAAAGCUGUCUGAAGUACCCAGUAGACAAUGUAUUAUUUCUGGAACAACUUAAUUGAAGUGAAGCUUACUAUGUGAAGGAGUUAUUUCUGUAUUCAAAAGGAAACUUCAGCAUACAGAAUACCAAUUGAGAUAUUAAUAGCUUCAGUUAUGGGAGAACAUAAGAUUAAUUAAACUGGAAUCCCUUUAGACGUUGACAUAGAUAAAUUCCACAGUUUCAACUAUAAAUGGACUUGAAUUAUUAUACAUUGGUUUUAUUUUAUAUAUGUAUUUGUCAAUAUUUUUAUUUUCCAAUAUUUCCCAAUAUUGUUAAUUUUGGAUAAUAUAAUGCCACAGAAAACUUGUCGGUCUUGGAGUAUGGCUGUUUAAAAAAAACACUGCAGAUUGUUCCUCAGAACAAUGAAAUUACAGUUUUGCUUGUUAAUGAACUAAUUUACAUAAAUAUAUAAUUUUUGUAAGCAUGAAAAAUUUGGAACAUAUCAUAUAAUGGAUAUUUUUUUCUUUUGCAUCUAAGAUCCAAAUGUAUUUCAUAGAGUGAACAGCAGAUUAAAUAUUUUCACGAAUGGCAUUGAAAAACAUAUAUUAUGUAUUAUGUUGGUAAAUGGAGGCUGCUAUUUAACUGUGACUGAAAGUAGUUCAGAUAUGACGCCUUAUUAUGUCCGAGAUUUAUAGCCCAUCAUACAAGCCAAAGAGAGCAGAUUUUUUUCUGUGUAGAAUCAUUAAUUUUCAAUGUUCAUCUUUGAAAGUGAUUCUGUCAUAUUGCCUGAAUUUGUUUAAAUUCCUUCCUGAUUUGCAAAUAUUAAUUAU